rnacentral:rRNA from 1 species
GACGAACGCUGGCGGCGUGCUUAACACAUGCAAGUCGAACGAAGUGGCGAACGGGUGAGUAACGCGUAAUCAACCUGCCCUUCAGAGGGGGACAACAGUUGGAAACGACUGCUAAUACCGCAUACUGACUGCGGUGCUUGCGUCUGAUUAGCUAGUUGGAGGGGUAACGUCCCACCAAGGCGAUGAUCAGUAGCCGGGGUGAGAGGAUGAACGGCAAAAGUGGGACUGAGACACGGCCCAGAAGCCUAAGGGAGGCAGAAGGGGGGAAUCUUUCGAAAUGGACGAAAGUCUGACGGAGCAACGCCGCGUGAGUGAUGACGGCCUUCGGGGUGUAAAGCUCUGUUAAUCGGGACGCGGUACCGGAAGAGAAAGCCACGGCUAACUACGUGCCAGCAGCCGCGGUAAUUC